AGUAUAAGCAAUUAUACCGCGAAACUGCGAAUGGCUCAUUAAAUCAGUUAUCGUUUAUUUGAUAGUUCCCUACUACUUGGAUAACCGUGGUAAUUCUAGAGCUAAUACAUGCAAAAAACCGCGACUUCGGAAGCGGUGUAUUUAUUAGAUUAAAGACCAAUGCCCUUCGGGGCUGACUGGUGAUUCAUGAUAACUUCUCGAAUCGCACGGCCUUGCGCCGGCGAUGGUUCAUUCAAAUUUCUGCCCUAUCAACUUUCGACUUUAGCGUAGUGGGCUAAAGUGGUUACAACGGGUAACGGAGGGUUAGGGCUCGACCCCGGAGAAGGAGCCUGAGAGACGGCUACUACAUCCAAGGAAGGCAGCAGGCGCGCAAAUUACCCAAUCCCGACACGGGGAGGUAGUGACAAUAAAUACUGAUACAGGGCUCUUUUGGGUCUUGUAAUUGGAAUGAGUACAAUUUAAAUCCCUUAACGAGGAACAAUUGGAGGGCAAGUCUGGUGCCAGCAGCCGCGGUAAUUCCAGCUCCAAUAGCGUAUAUUAAAGUUGUUGUGGUUAAAAAGCUCGUAGUUGAACCUGGGCCUCGCGCAGACCGGUCCGCCUCACCGCGUGCACUGGUCCUGCCGGGGCUUUCACUAGGGGAUUCGCAUGCCCUUCACUGGGCGUGCGCGGAACCUGGACCUUUACUGUGAAAAAAUUAGAGUGUUCAAAGCAGGCCUAUGCUCGAAUACAUUAGCAUGGAAUAAUAGAAUAGGACGUGUGGUUCUAUUUUGUUGGUUAUGGGACCGCCGUAAUGAUUAAUAGGGACAGUCGGGGGCAUCAGUAUUCAAUUGUCAGAGGUGAAAUUCUUGGAUUUAUUGAAGACUAACUACUGCGAAAGCAUUUGCCAAGGAUGUUUUCAUUAAUCAGGAACGAAAGUUAGGGGAUCGAAGACGAUCAGAUACCGUCGUAGUCUUAACCAUAAACUAUGCCGACUAGGGAUCGGGCGAUGUUACUUUUUGACUCGCUCGGCACCUUACGAGAAAUCAAAGUUUGUGGGUUCCUGGGGGAGUAUGGUGGCAACGCUGAAACUAAAGAAAUUGACGGAAGGGC
rnacentral:rRNA from 1 species